AGGCACUGAUGAUACAAAAAUGACACAGACAAAAAUCUCUGCACCCAUGGAACUUACAUUCUUUUAGAGGAGACACGGUAAGCAAGAGAUUCUGAUUCAGGAAGUUCCAUUUGUGGCCCAGGAAUCUAAUCUUUAUUUACCACUUUCCAACCAACACCAUUCCUGACACAGCAAGAAUUCAGGAACGAAUGAAAGGAUGGAAACUCAAACAGAAUGACUAAACUGUAAUACAAAGAUAAUGAACUCCAAUGUAACAGGACAGCAAAUUAGAAGGCUGGGAAGUUGUUAGCCAUAAAAAAGAAAAAGAAAAAGAGCUUUAUUUCCACACUUUUGAAGCAUUCUUUGGAAACCAGAAAAAUCUAGCAAUACAGUUAACCCAGUUACUGUCAGUUCAAUUCUACUUUCAAAAGAAAGCCAGGCUAACAUUUUAAACAGCAAUUAUGUUUUAUGAAAAGGGAAGAAGGAGUGAGAAGAACAUCAAAACCCUCAAAAGCAUGCCAAUGAGAAACCAAUCAGAAAGCAGGUUAGGAUUUCCAUUCACCCCAGCUUUUUGAAAUAAGCAUUUCCUGUCCUUAGCACCCUCCACUUUAUCAGCCUCACAGAGACCUGGGGGAUAUCAGAAGUGGCUACCAAAGGGAUUCAUAUGCUAAACUGAAACACCUGCUUUCCAAAUCAAAGGAAAAAUGAGUAAAACAUGGACCACCCACCCAGUCAGAAACAAUGUACUUUGAGUUGGGUCGCUUUUAUGCCUUUUUCUUUUUAAGUGAUUCACCAGGAGUCUUAGAGAAGAUGGGUCACUUUGAGCAUAUCCCAGGAAAGCUACCCUACAAUAAGUUGUAAUCAUCCGAAACACUAAAUCAAGACCAAGAUUCUUCUGCCUGGUAGACAUGGUGAUGCACCAGUGAUUGAUUACAAGUGGAGAUUACAAAACAAUAACAAAUUGACCACACUCUGGAAUGGCCUUUCAAAGUUGCAAAAUCCCAAUCAGAGUAUCCCAUUUGAAUAUUCCAAGUGAGUUUUUUGAGUUUCCAAAAAACUUUCUUUAAGGGAAAAAAAAAAAUUCUCAAAAUCCAUAAAAUUAUCUUAAUACAUAAUCCAGUUAAGAUUUUUAAAUCUGAUCAAAUACCAUUAAUAAAGAAAAUUACUUCUUAUAUAUUUUUUCUUAUUGUCAAAAACAUGUUUUGAGAUUAUUUAUGAAACCUCUUUCUUUUUUUGUUCUAACCCUGCGAGCUAAACAUGUUCCAUUUAUUUUUAAAUGAAGUGAAAAUUAGCCAGGUGUGUUAAAUAAGCUUUCUAUACACAGGUCUAAAUAUUGACAAAGGGAGAUGUGUCACUGGAAAAAUCAUCAGUCUGGCAAUUAUCACGUUAGCAUGUUAAGUGGAAAAAGAUGUGAAACUUCCAAAUGUGUCAAUACAGAUUAUUUCAUUUCCACUAGCUAUCAGCUAUACUGUGAACAUCAGUUCUUUAAUGUACACUAAGCAAACAGUUCGGCUAAAAAAAAUUUCUCUGUGCCUGGAAAAAAAAGAAAAAAGAAUCACAAGGUCUGGUGCGAAAUCACAUAUGUUUCUAACUACUUAUUCAAAUAACCUAAAAGAGGGAAAGGGAGUACAAAUGGUGACGAAAGAACUUUAUGUAUACAUCUGUGUCUGCACUCCUUUUUCACUGAGUUACAUGAGUGAUCCCCACCAUUCUCAUUAGUCCCAAACCCAGAGUAUUUUCGAUAAAAAUAGCAGUGGCAUUUGCAAAGGGGCAUCAUAUCACUACACUUACGGUACUAAGAAAAUAAAAUAUUUCAGUUGCACACUUUAGACUCCUGUGAACUACACUCGAAGAUGAGAGAAAGUGCUAUUAAUUUUUGGCCUGUGAAACUGAAUAAAUAAAAACUCAUUUAAAAUGGAAUCCAGAGGACAGCAGUGGAAGCUUGCACCACUAUCACUCAAGGUCAAUUGCAGACCCCCACAAGAAGAGGCUGACUUUACUACCCCAGCAGGAGAAAGACUUUCUCCUUGCCCAGCAAUAAACACGGCCAGUAAGAAAAUACCACAACUCAACCAACAGGAAACAGUUACCACCCUGAACUCUUGUUUAUAUCCUCCAAUGAACUUCAUUCAAAGUAGCCCUUCCCAACUUCCUCCUUUUCUCUAUAAAGUAGACUUCCUCUACGUUAACCUCCAGACUUGCCUCAGUUUGCCAUACUUUGUGCAUCCUGAAUCGCAAUUCCUCUGCUAUUCCCAAAUAAACCCAUUUUGGUGGUAAAAAUAGCUGGCUAUUUAAGUUUGGCAGGUGUGAUUAAGAAAGAAUCAGAU